UACGGAGGGUGCCAGCGUUAUCCGGAUUCACUGGGUUUAAAGGGUGCGUAGGCGGAUUAGAAAGUCCGUUGUGAAAUCUCUGAGCUUAACUCGGAAAUUGCGGUGGAUACUAUUAGUCUUGAAUACUGUGGAGGUUAGCGGAAUAUGUCAUGUAGCGGUGAAAUGCAUAGAUAUGACAUAGAACACCAAUUGCGAAGGCAGCUGGCUACACAGAUAUUGACGCUGAGGCACGAAAGCGUGGGGAUCAAACAGG
rnacentral:rRNA from 1 species